rnacentral:rRNA from 1 species
CACCGCGGUUAUACGAGAGGCCCAAGUUGACAGACAGCGGCGUAAAGAGUGGUUAGGGAAAUUUUUAAACUAAAGCCGAACGUCCUCAGAGCUGUCUAACGCUUCCGAGUUAAGAAGCCCCAUUACGAAAGUAGCUUUAUCUAACCUGACCCCACGAAAGCUGAGAAA